UGGGGCGUGGCCAAGUGGUGAGGGAACGGGUUUUGGUCCCGAUAAUGAGAGGUUCGAAUGCUUUCGUCCUAG
rnacentral:tRNA from 1 species